rnacentral:rRNA from 1 species
UUCGGAGGGGGCUAGCGUUGUUCGGAAUUACUGGGCGUAAAGCGCGCGUAGGCGGACCUGCAAGUCGGGGGUGAAAGCCCGAGGCUCAACCUCGGAACUGCCUUCGAUACUGCGGGUCUCGAGUCCGGGAGAGGUGAGUGGAAUUCCUAGUGUAGAGGUGAAAUUCGUAGAUAUUAGGAAGAACACCAGUGGCGAAGGCGGCUCACUGGCCCGGUACUGACGCUGAGGCGCGAAAGCGUGGGGAGCAAACAGG